GACGAACGCUGGCGGCGUGCCUAAUACAUGCAAGUCGAGCGGAACUGGGGGAGCUUGCUCCUUCCAGUUUAGCGGCGGACGGGUGAGUAACACGUGGGCAACCUGCCCUGCAGAUCGGGAUAACUCCGGGAAACCGGUGCUAAUACCGAAUAGUUUGGCGCCUCUCCUGAGGCGCUACGGAAAGACGGUUUCGGCUGUCACUGCAGGAUGGGCCCGCGGCGCAUUAGCUAGUUGGUGGGGUAACGGCCCACCAAGGCGACGAUGCGUAGCCGACCUGAGAGGGUGACCGGCCACACUGGGACUGAGACACGGCCCAGACUCCUACGGGAGGCAGCAGUAGGGAAUCUUCCGCAAUGGACGCAAGUCUGACGGAGCAACGCCGCGUGAGUGACGAAGGUUUUCGGAUCGUAAAACUCUGUUGUGAGGGAAGAACACGUACCAACUAACUAUUGGUACCUUGACGGUACCUCACCAGAAAGCCACGGCUAACUACGUGCCAGCCGCCGCGGUAA
rnacentral:rRNA from 1 species